rnacentral:rRNA from 1 species
GCCCCAGCAGCUAGCCCACCCAAGAAAAGCAACAAUCAAUACUAAUAACCCCGCACUUACUAGUACUUUUCAACAAAACAUUUUUCCCCCUUAGUAUGGGAGACAGAACAGGGACAAAGGAGCUAUAGAAAAAGUACCGCAAGGGAAAGCUGAAAGAGAGAUGAAAAAGCCCAGUUAAGGUUAAGAAAGCAGAGAUUUACACUCGUACCUUUUGCAUCAUGACUUAGUCAGCACAAUCAAGCAAAGAGCCCUUUAUGUUUGGUACCCCGAAACUUGGCGAGCUACUCCAAGACAGUCUAUUAUAGGACACACCCGUCUCUGUGGCAAAAGAGUGGGAAGAGCUUUGAGUAGAGGUGACAGACCUACCGAGCCAAGUUAUAGCUGGUUGCCUGGAAAAUGAAUAGAAGUUCAGCCUCCUGACUUUUCUAACCCUCCGAGGCUAGACCGCGCCCCGGCAGAGAGAAUAUCAGGAGAGUUAUUCAAGGGUGGGACAGCACCCUAGAAAGUAGAAACAACUUUAAGAGAAGGAUAAAGAUCAAAGAAUGUAAGGAACUAUGUCCGAGUGGGCCUAAAAGCAGCCACCUCCUUAAGAAAGCGUUACAGCUCAAACAUAACACCCCUAUGAUUUCGAUAAAACUAUCUAAAACCCCUUUAAUUACCAGGCCCUCCCAUGCCCCCAUGGGAAAGAUACUGCUAACAUGAGUAAUAAGAGAGCAUAGCCUCUCUCCUAGCAGAUGUGUACAUCAGAACGGACCCCCGCUGAACAUUAUACGCCCCCAAUAAUUGAGGGUAUUGAACCGUGACUAAUAAAACUAGAAGUCCUUUCAAUCACUAGCGUUGACCCUACACAGGACUGCCCUUAGGAAAGACAAUAAGAGAAAGAAGGAACUCGGCAAACACUUUUAGCCUCGCCUGUUUACCAAAAACACCGCCUCUUGCCCCUCCCAUAUAAGAGGUCCCGCCUGCCCUGUGACGAAAGUUUAACGGCCGCGGUAUUUUGACCGUGCGAAGGUAGCGUAAUCACUUGUCUUUUAAAUGGAGACCAGUAUGAAUGGCAUAACGAGGGCUAAGCUGUCUCCUUCCUCUAGUCAAUGAAAUUGAUCUGCCCGUGCAGAAGCGGGCAUGCGCACAUAAGACGAGAAGACCCUAUGGAGCUUUAGACACCAGGACAGCCCGCGUUAAUACCCCCUAUUACGGCACUAAACCAAGCAGUCACUGCCCCUUUGUCUUCGGUUGGGGCGACCACGGGGAAAAACAAAACCCCCGAGUGGAAUGGGACAACCUCCCCGAGAAAAGGCCCACAGGCCUAACCACCAGAAAAUCUGACCAACAAGAUCCGGAAAUCCGAUCAACGGACCCAGUUACCCUAGGGAUAACAGCGCAAUCCCCUUUUAGAGCCCACAUCGACAAGGGGGUUUACGACCUCGAUGUUGGAUCAGGACCUCCUAAUGGUGCAGCCGCUAUUAAGGGUUC